UACAGAGGUCUCAAGCGUUGUUCGGAUUCAUUGGGCGUAAAGGGUGCGUAGGCGGCGCGGUAAGUCGGGUGUGAAAUCUCGGAGCUUAACUCCGAAACUGCAUUCGAUACUGCCGUGCUUGAGGACUGGAGAGGAGACUGGAAUUUACGGUGUAGCGGUGAAAUGCGUGAUAUCGUAAGGAAGACCAGUGGCGAAGGCGGGUCUCUGGACAGUUCCUGACGCUGAGGCACGAAGGUCAGGGGAGCAAACGGG
rnacentral:rRNA from 1 species